rnacentral:SRP_RNA from 1 species
GGGCAAGUCCUGUACGGUUCGCUCCCUCUCAACCCCGCCAGGACCGGAAGGUAGCAACGGUAGGAGGUCGUAGCAACGCGAUGCAGUCAGCUUGCCCUUU